AUGGGCUGGGUGCAGGACCCUCAUAUUCAAGAGCUGCUUCUCAAGCAGACGGAUAAUGCAAGAGCUGCCGCCCGAGAGAAAGCCAAGCUGGAUCAACUGGAGAUAGAUGCGGUUACUCCAUUGUAUGAAGGAUGCAGGCCCGAGGAUACCCGCCUGAAAGUAACGCUCAUGGCUCUGGAUAUGAAGGUAAAACACAAAAUGACCGACGCAUGCUUCGACGAGAACAUGUCAUUCUGGCACGAAUGUCUUCCCAAGGGGAACAAGUGCCUGACCAGUUUCGAGGAGGCAAAGAAAAUUGUGUGUCCUCUGGAUUUACCGCACGUGAAAUACCAUGUGUGCAUGAAUAAUUGCAUCAUUUAUCGGGACGAGCACGCGGAGUCUACCAUAUGUCCGGUGUGCGGCGUCACUCGAUACAAGAAGAGGAAGAAAGCUCCUCGAAAGGUGGAGUGGUACUUUCCGAUCACUCCUCGUCUGCAGCGGUAUUUCGCGGACCCUAAGGUAGCAAAGCUCCUGCGUUGGCACGCGAAUAGGGAGGAGAAGAAGCGAGAAGAUGACGCAAAUGAUCUGGAGAUAAAUAAAAAAGACAAGAUGACGAGUCACCCUAAGGAUGGGAGCCAGUGGCAAGCGUUGAACUUCGAACACCCAGAAUUUGGGAACGAUCCAAGGAACAUCAUGCUGGGCGCGAGCAUCGAUGGAGUCAAUCCGUCUGGCAGCCAGAGAAGCACACAUAGCACCUGGCAUGUGUUUUUGUGGAUGUACAACCUUCCCCCUGGUUGUGCAUGA
rnacentral:rRNA from 1 species